rnacentral:rRNA from 1 species
GACGAACGCUGGCGGCGUGCCUAAUACAUGCAAGUCGAACGCAGUGGGGACGGGUGAGUAACACGUGGGUAACCUCCCAUCAGAGGGGAUAACACUUGGAAACAGGUGCUAAACCGAUACUGAUGGAUGGACCCGCGGUGCAUUAGCUAGUUGGUGAGGUAACGGCUCACCAGGGCCACGAGGCCUAGCCGGCCUGAGAGGGUGAUCAGCCACACUGGGACUGAGACACGGCCCAGACUCCUACGGGAGGCAGCAGUAGGGAAUAUUCCACAAUGGGCGAAAGUCUGAUCGAGCAACGCCGCGUGAGUGAAGAAGGCUUUCGGAUUGUAAAACUCGGUCGUUAGAGAGGCGGUAUCGAAACAGAAAGCAACGGCUAACUACGUGCCAGCAGCCGCGGUAAUUC